rnacentral:lncRNA from 1 species
AGCAUGUAGAGUAGAUUAAGCGUAGUUGGACAUGCCUCGAAACUUAUGGCACUAUGGCUGACAAAGUUUUUAAAACGGCAGACAAAUUCUGGUAAAAUAAUCAUCAAAGGAAAGCGUGUCAGCAGAGGAGGUGGUUAUGGCUUAGAAAUUCCGUGCGAGUAUCACUUUCAUGGAGAUACAUUUUCGUGUCAGUGGCUGAAGCGAAAGUGUCAAUGACACAUGCAAGAAAUAUUUAAAUUGCUUGAAUAACACGUCCACACGGACUGAAAAGACUGUUGACACUUUCAGUGAUUACGGAAGUUCGAGUAAUGAGAUAAACACAACUUAAAACUUUGACAUUUUGCCGAAUAAAGAUUUAAUUAUAAUAAUAUAUUGUAUUAUG